GAUGAACGCUGGCGGCGUGCCUAAUACAUGCAAGUCGAGCGAACAGAUGAGGAGCUUGCUCCUCUGACGUUAGCGGCGGACGGGUGAGUAACACGUGGAUAACCUACCUAUAAGACUGGGAUAACUUCGGGAAACCGGAGCUAAUACCGGAUAAUAUAUUGAACCGCAUGGUUCAAUAGUGAAAGACGGUUUUGCUGUCACUUAUAGAUGGAUCCGCGCCGCAUUAGCUAGUUGGUAAGGUAACGGCUUACCAGGCAACGAUGCGUAGCCGACCUGAGAGGGUGAUCGGCCACACUGGAACUGAGACACGGUCCAGACUCCUACGGGAGGCAGCAGUAGGGAAUCUUCCGCAAUGGGCGAAAGCCUGACGGAGCAACGCCGCGUGAGUGAUGAAGGUCUUCGGAUCGUAAAACUCUGUUAUUAGGGAAGAACAAAUGUGUAAGUAACUAUGCACGUCUUGACGGUACCUAAUCAGAAAGCCACGGCUAACUACGUG
rnacentral:rRNA from 1 species